rnacentral:rRNA from 1 species
GGCAUGCGCUGCUAUAAUGCAGUCGACGCACUCUCGUUUAGAUUGAAGGAGCUUGCUCCUGAUUGAUAAACAUUUGAGUGAGUGGCGGACGGGUGAGUAACACGUGGGUAACCUGCCCUAAAGUGGGGGAUAACAUUUGGAAACAGGUGCUAAUACCGCAUAAAACCUAACACCGCAUGGUGUAGGGUUGAAAGAUGGUUUCGGCUAUCACUUUAGGAUGGACCCGCGGUGCAUUAGUUAGUUGGUGAGGUAAAGGCUCACCAAGACCGUGAUGCAUAGCCGACCUGAGAGGGUAAUCGGCCACACUGGGACUGAGACACGGCCCAGACUCCUACGGGAGGCAGCAGUAGGGAAUCUUCCACAAUGGACGAAAGUCUGAUGGAGCAACGCCGCGUGAGUGAAGAAGGUUUUCGGAUCGUAAAACUCUGUUGUUGGAGAAGAAUGUAUCUGAUAGUAACUGAUCAGGUAGUGACGGUAUCCAACCAGAAAGCCACGGCUAACUACGUGCCAGCAGCCGCGGUAAUACGUAGGUGGCAAGCGUUGUCCGGAUUUAUUGGGCGUAAAGCGAGCGCAGGCGGUUUCUUAAGUCUGAUGUGAAAGCCUUCGGCUCAACCGAAGAAGUGCAUCGGAAACUGGGAAACUUGAGUGCAGAAGAGGACAGUGGAACUCCAUGUGUAGCGGUGAAAUGCGUAGAUAUAUGGAAGAACACCAGUGGCGAAUGCGGCUGUCUGGUCUGUAACUGACGCUGAGGCUCGAAAGCAUGGGUAGCAAACAGGAUUAGAUACCCUGGUAGUCCAUGCCGUAAACGAUGAGUGCUAGGUGUUGGGAGGGUUUCCGCUCUUCAGUGCCGCAGCUAACGCAUUAAGCACUCCGCCCUGGGGAGUACGACCGCAAGGUUGAAACUCAAAGGAAUUGACGG